CUCGUCCCGCCAUGGGCGUCCACUUGGCUUCCACCUUCCUCCUCCUCCUGGCCGCCCUCCCAGGGCUGAUGGCGGCCGUGCAGCUGGUGGAGUCCGGAGGGGGCCUCCAGACACCCGGGGGGUCCCUCACCCUCCGCUGCAAGGCCUCCGGCUUCGACUUCAGCAGCAAAGGCAUGGGAUGGAUGCGACAGGCCCCGGGGAAGGGGCUGGAGUACGUCGCGCAGAUUAACACUGGUGGUAGCACAUGGUACGCGUCAUCGGUCAAGGGGCGCUUCACCAUCUCCAGGGACAACUCCCAGAGCACGCUCACGCUGCAGAUGAACAGCCUCCGGGACGACGACACGGCCACCUACUACUGCGCGAAAAGUACUGGUGGUGGUUGUGGUGCUGGUAAUGCUGAUGGUGAUGCUUAUGGUGGUGGCACCAACCCCAGCCCCAUGGAACAACAUCCCUGUCCUGUGUCCCCAAAUCAACCGCUAUUGACCCAAACCUGAAGCAUUUGCCACAAACCUCGACCACUUUUGCCCCAAACCUCAACCGGUUGCAGCAAACCCUGACCGAUUUCUCACCAGACCUCCAUGGUUUGACCCAACUCUUGACCAUUUGCACCAAAUCUCGACCAUUUUAUCCCCAAAUCUCAAAUGAUUGGCACCAAACCUCGACCAUUUGUGCCCCAAACCUCCACCCUUCUUGCCCCAAACCUUCAAUGCUCUCGACCAAUAUCUCGACCACUUUUGCUCCAAACCUUGACUAUUUCUCUCAAACCUGAUUACUUUUACCCUAAACCUCAAGGCUUUUCUCCCAAAUAUCGUCCGCUUGCCAUAAAUCUCUACUGUUUGCCCCAAACCGCAACCACUUGGCCCAAAGUUGAGUGGUUUUGCCCCAAGUCUUGACUGGUUUUGACUGGUUUUGACCUAAGUCCCAACCGUUUGCCCCAAAUUCAACCAAUGUUGGCCCAAAUCUUCACUGUUUACACCAAACCCUUCACUGGUUUUAGGACAAAUCUCAACCACUUGCCCCAGAACAUGAACGGUUACCCCAAGUCUUGACUGUUUUGGCCCCAAAUCUCAACCGUUUGCAUCAAACUCUGACCGUUUUUGCCCCAGACUUCCAUGGUUUGCAACAACUCUUGACCAUUUCCCCCA